rnacentral:tRNA from 1 species
GCCCAGAUGCCCGAGUGAUUAAGGGGACGGUCUGCAAAACCGUUUGAGAAAUCUGUCGUCGGUUUGAAUCCGACUCUGGGCU